rnacentral:RNase_P_RNA from 1 species
CAGGCAGAGAAUACGGUUACCCCCGUAGCUUUGCUUCGAAAAGCCAAGCCUCGGGGGAGGAAAGUCCGGGCUCCAAAAGGAUAAGCGUAAUGGGUAAUACCCAUCUUCCAAGGAUAAGAGCCACAGAGACGAGUAAAGGCAAAGGCUAUAUAAAGGCUAUAUUAUGAGAAGAUUCUUUGGAUGCUUCUGCGUUCUUAGAAUUAUUUCUCAGUCUUUGGCCUGGAAGUGAAACGGGGCAAUCUCUACGCGGAGUAAGGCCAAAUAGGGGAUGAGCGCUAAUCCUUGCGCGAUAAUAAUAAUCCCGGGUUGGCUGCUUGAGUCUGGAAGGUAACCUCCGGACCCAGAUAAAUGACCGUUAAGGAUGCGGUUAUUCGCAUUGACACAAAACCCGGCUUACUCUGCCUGUUGU